rnacentral:rRNA from 1 species
CUAUGCGCCUUGCCAGCCCGCUCAGUCAGAGUUUGAUCCUGGCUCAGGACGAACGCUGGCGGCGUGCUUAACACAUGCAAGUCGAACGGGCCUUGCUUCUUUUUUGGGGUGGGGUUAGUGGCGAACGGGUGAGUAACACGUGAGUAACCUGCCCCUCACUUCUGGAUAACCGCUUGAAAGGGUGGCUAAUACGGGGUGUUCUGGCCUGCUCGCAUGGGUGGGUUUGGAAAGAUUCGACCGGUUUUGGUUGUUUUGGUGGGGGAUGGGCUCGCGGCCUAUCAGCUUGUUGGUGGGGUGAUGCCUGCCAAGGCUUUGACGGGUAGCCGGCCUGAGAGGGUGAGCGGUCACACUGGGACUGAGACACGGCCCAG